rnacentral:misc_RNA from 1 species
GAUGAAGAACGUAGCGAAAUGCGAUACUUGGUGUGAAUUGCAGAAUCCCGUGAACCAUCGAGUCUUUGAACGCAAGUUGCGCCUCAAGCCAUUAGGUUGAGGGCACGUCUGCCUGGGCGUCACAUAUCGUUGCCUGAUGCCAGUUUCCUCGUGAUGGGUGACUGUGCAGGGCGAAUGAUGGCUUCCCGUGAGCAUUGUUGCCUCAUGGUUGGUUGAAAAUUGAGUCCUUGGUAGGGAGCGCCGUGAUAGAUGGUGGUUGAGUGACGAACGAGACCCAAUCAUGUGAGACCCCUACCGAAUUUGGCCUUCAUGACCCACAUGCGUCUUUGGAACGCUCAUGACGAGACCUCAGGUCAGGCGGGGCUACCCGCUGAGUUUAAGCAUAUCAAUAAGGCGGAGGA